rnacentral:rRNA from 1 species
CCUACGGGAGGCAGCAGUGGGGAAUAUUGCACAAUGGGGGAAACCCUGAUGCAGCGACGCCGCGUGAGUGAAGAAGUACUUCGUUAUGUAAAGCUCUAUCAGCAGGGAAGAAAAUGACGGUACCUGAGUCAGAAGCCCCGGCUAACUACGUGCCAGCAGCCGCGGUAAUACGUAGGGGGCAAGCGUUAUCCGGAUUUACUGGGUGUAAAGGGAGCGUAGACGGCAGUGCAAGUCUGGAGUGAAAGGCGGGGGCUCAACCCCCGGACUGCUCUGGAAACUGUACGGCUGGAGUGCAGGAGAGGUAAGUGGAAUUCCUAGUGUAGCGGUGAAAUGCGUAGAUAUUAGGAGGAACACCAGUGGCGAAGGCGGCUUACUGGACUGUAACUGACGUUGAGGCUCGAAAGCGUGGGGAGCAAACAGGAUUAGAUACCCGAGUAGUC